AGGGUUUGAUUCUGGCUCAGAAUGAACGCUGGCGGCACGCUUAACACAUGCAAGUCGAACGAGAUCUUCGGAUCUAGUGGCAGACGGGUGAGUAACGCGUGGGAGCCUGCCCUUUAGUAGAGAACAACUCGAGGAAACUUGAGCUAAUACUUUAUACGCCCUUUGGGGGAGAGCUUUAUGCGCUAUUGGAUGGGCCCGCGUUAGAUUAGUUUGUUGGUGAGGUAACGGCUCACCAAGACGUCGAUCUAUAGCUGGUCUGAGAGGAUGAUCAGCCACACUGGGACUGAGACACGGCCCAGACUCCUACGGGAGGCAGCAGUGGGGAAUAUUGGACAAUGGGGGCAACCCUGAUCCAGCGAUGCCGCGUGAGUGAUGAAGGCCUUAGGGUUGUAAAGCUCUUUCGUCAGGGAAGAUAAUGACGGUACCUGAAGAAGAAGAUCCGGCUAACUCCGUGCCAGCC
rnacentral:rRNA from 1 species